rnacentral:rRNA from 1 species
CCUACGGGUGGCAGCAGUGAGGAAUAUUGGUCAAUGGACGGAAGUCUGAACCAGCCAUGCCGCGUGCAGGAAGACGGCUCUAUGAGUUGUAAACUGCUUUUGUACAAAGGGAAACCUUAAAACGUGUAUUCAGCUGAAAUGACUGUAAGAAGAAGGAUCGGCUAACUCCGUGCCAGCAGCAGCGGGAAUACGGCGGAUCCAAGCGUUAUCCGGAUUUAUUGGGUUUAAAGGGUGUGUAGGCGGAGUGAUAAGUUAGAGGUGAAAUGUUCGGGCUUAACUCGGGAACUGCCUCUAAUACUGUUGAUCUAGAGAGUAGAUGCGGUAGGCGGAAUGUAUGGUGUAGCGGUGAAAUGCUUAGAGAUCAUACAGAACACCGAUUGCGAAGGCAGCUUACCAAUCUAUAUCUGACGUUGAGGCACGAAAGCGUGGGGAGCAAACAGGAUUAGAUACCCUGGUAGUC